GUGCUUGCUUCGGCAGCACAUAAACUAAAAUUGGAACUAUACAGAGAAGAUUAGCAUGGCCCCUGUGCAAGGAUGACACGCAAAUGCAUGAAGCAUUCCAUAUUUUA
ensembl:snRNA U6 U6 spliceosomal RNA